UACGUAGGUGGCGAGCGUUGUCCGGAAUUACUGGGUGUAAAGCGCGUGUAGGCGGGAGGCCAAGUCUGCGGUGAAAUCGCUCGGCUCAACUGGGCGGGGUCCGUGGAAACUGGUCACCUGGAGGACGGUAGAGGCGAGUGGAAUUCCCGGUGUAGUGGUGAAAUGCGUAGAGAUCGGGAGGAACAUCAGUGGCGAAGGCGGCUCGCUGGGCCGGACCUGACGCUGAGACGCGAAGGCGUGGGGAGCGAACAGG
rnacentral:rRNA from 1 species